CCCAGAAUUCCUUAGCUGACAGUGCUGGUUGUUCUGUUGUGUUUGUUUGCUUUUGUUUUUUGUUUUUUGUCAACUUGACACAAACCCAGGCGUACACAUGGGAAAUGAAAAAUCUGAGGCUCUGCCUUCAUCGAAUUGUCCUGUGGACAUGUAUGUGGGGCGUUUUCUUGAUUACUAGUUGACAUGGGAGGGCUCAGCUCUUUGUGAGUUGUUCCUGCCCUAGGCAGGUGUUUCUGGGGUUGUAUAAAAAAAAGCAGGCUGAGCAAGACAUGGAGAGGCAGGUAGUAAGAAGCAAUUGAUCGAUCCUCAGGGCCUUUCCUUCUGUUCCUGUUUUCAGGCUCCUGCUGUGAGUUCCUGUUGGCUUCCCUCUAUGAUAGAUUCUAACCUGUGAGAAUAAACCCUUUCCUUCCUGGAGUUUUAAUUAAAACCAUUUGAUCAAUGCUUAUCACAGCAAAAGUGCACUCCUGGGGUCUUGACUGUCCUUGUUGUGGGCAAGGGCAAGCAAUUUGCUGGACCCUGGCCUGAAGCCCAGGUAGGCCUUUGCAAACCUGGGUUUCCAGGAUCCCAGGUCCCCUGAUGUGAACUUCUGGGAGUCCAACAUGGGCUCUUCCUUGUGAGUGAUGGCUCUGGGGAGCUCGGCCAGUCCUUUUUCUAGGUGGACCAUAAAUCCUUUCCCAAUGCUCACUCUUCAUGAAGAUCAAAGUUUCCUUAGACAUGAUCUUCCUGGAAGGACCACUCAGAUGCUAGACUCACUUUAUGCCAAAUAAGCCUACUUGGAGCAGUGGUAGCUCUGGCCUGUCAACCCCACCCCAACCCCCACCUUGGGAGUUUGAGGCAGUGACCAAGGGUUCUAGGCUGUGUGGGGAGCUCCUGUCUCAAAUCACCUGAAACCAACCAAGCAAAAAAGCUGUGAGGGUUUCUCUCCCCCAUACCUGUAAGAAUGUACAGUCCUGGUUCUAACAGUGCUCACCAUAGGAGACUUCACUUGGCAACUGGAGAAAGUUUUAUGUCAAGAUACUUCUGUUCUCUGAUUGCUUGGGAGUUGGAUAACAAUCCCAUUUUUAUUGGCCAGCUGGGUUCUUGUCACGUUCUUUUUCAUCUUCAGUUUUAGUUAAAUGCCCUUUUAUUGAUUGAAAACAGCUUUGGCAACAAGACCCCUUCCUAUGGACAUAGAGUGAAUGUAUGGUAUCUCUUUCUUACAUUCUUAUCUUCCUGCUGCUUUCCCUUUUUUGGUCUGGGCAAUAAUACCAGUUGUCUUCUGUUUGAAACAAAAAGAGUUGAAAUAAGUCUGCUGGGGACCAAAAGUGAUUGUGUGGUAGGUUUUAAGUUUCAUGAAAUAAGUACUGGUGAUAAUGAACCAAGGCGGGAGGUAGAAGCUGCAUGGUCAGAGUCAGGGUGAAGGAGACCAGAGGCAGAGGUGAGGGCUCUGUGGCUCAGCACCUCAGCCUGCAAACCCACCUCGGGAGCGGAAAGGCUUGCCCGCUGGCAACAGUGUUAUCUUUUCUCCUGCUGCACUGCUGGUUAACUCUUCUGUUUUGGUAACAUGUUGAAGAUAUGUAGUUAGAAGAUAGCAGUUGGAUGGAUGACUACACAGGCUGACUUCUGUAUCAAAUAAGCAAGAAGCAAAAACAAUAUCUAGAUAUGAGCACAAGAGAUGGAGUGAUGUGAGAAUCUACAUGCAGUCCACAUAGAUACAUUCAGACGUCUGCAUUGGCAGAGGAAAAGGAAGAAGAAAGAGAAAGGAAAGAUGUAAAUGGUAGUUUAGCAUCCUAUUCUACCCAAGUCCUUUCUAGGAGUCAGGAGGUGGAGCUGGCCACUCUAACCUCCUGUGUGGUCUGUGUCAAUAGUAAUUUUUCAUACAGUGUGGAUCACCAAUGGCAACUUCCAUGCACUCCCUUGCUCUACCCUAGACCUUGAACCAAUACCGUACGGUACCCGUGAUCAUCAGAUACAGUACACUGCUGAUUCUGCCUGGUGUAGGUCAGUCCUGAUUUUAUGAAGCUGGGUCUUAUGUUUUCUGCAUGAAAAGUCAUUUGGAAUUCUGCAAAAGUAACUUUGAUCUUUUCUAAUUUUUGUGUUGUUCUAAUAUUUACACCCCACUCUCUUUAAUGGUAUAUGGAUUAGAAAUCCCAGAGCUAGUCUGAGGGCAUUUGAAGUCAUCUUUUCUUGUUCUUAACUUAGUUAAUGCAGAUAUUUUUCAUCCUGUUAGGAACAUGUCCUUCUAGUAUUGGUUCAUGAAGGGACUUUUUAUGAAGAAGAAUCAAUUCUGAAUGUUCUCAGGGUCUUUUCUGUUCUGAUUAAGACAUUCAUCUAUUUUUAUGUUUUGACUCAUUUUGUAAAUUACAUGCGUUUCUCUUAAUUUUCAGGCUUGCAUCCCUAGGGUAAAGAGAUCUUGGUAAUGGGGUGUUAUUAUGCACUUUUAGGUUUGAAUUGCUUAUAUUUCAUUUAUGAAUUUUACAUCUAUAUUCAUAAGUGAGAUUAGGCUUUUUAAAUUCUUGUCAAAUUUUGGAUUAAUAACCAACUUUCUUUUAUCUCAUCUUUCCUGUAUUAUUUCAUAGCAUCUGUUUUGACAUCUAAAAAGUUCCUCUCAAUUCUGUUAUAAUAUUUUUAGAAACAUGUUCUCUAUAAAGUAGAAGGCAGCAUGCCCUAUAACUCAGCAAUUCUCCCCUGAGGCAGAAACCGGUUCAGGCCUUAGCUUAUUAUGGUUCAGGUAGAUAUACAUAUGUGUGCUGAUAUGUGUUGUAGACAUACAUACAUGUGCUGUGAGACAUGUGUAAGGAUGCUCAUGGCUGCCAGUAGCAGCAUGUCAGAAAUUACUUACAUGCUACUAGUAGUGAAAUAUGUUUAUUAAACAUGUGCAAUUGUCCUAGAGACAGCUUUGGCCAGUAUCUCUCUUAAGCGGCUGAUGGGUGGAAAGCCCAGAGCUCUUGGUAAGCACAUUGUUUCAUUCAUCCUUGUUGCAUGUCAUCAACAAGGAGUGUGUGUGUGUGUGUGUGUGUGAAAGUCUCUGUAUGUAUGUCUGUAUGUCUGUGAUGGGCCUUAGUAAGAUAUAAACCAUCAUCUUAGAUUAUCUUAUAUUAUGUUUUAGAAUAAGGCCUAAGUUUUAUGUGUGUGUGUGUGUGUGUGUGUGUGUGUGAGAGAGAGAGAGAGAGAGAGAGAGAGAGAGAGUAUGUGUGCAUGCAUGUAGAAGCCAGAGGUUGAUGUUGGAUGCUUUAAGCAAUCACUCUCCACCUUAUUUUUAAAGACCACCUCUUACUGAACGUGGCACUUGCUGUUUUGACUAGAUCAUCUGGCCAAGAAGUUCUAGGAAUCCUCCUGUCUCUGCCUCCCAAGCUCUGGGGUUACAGCCAAGAACCUGGAGCUUCAAGGAUGGAACUCCAGGACCCUGCUUACUGCUCAGAGGAGUGGAACUUGGACAUCCUAAAAGGCGUCCUGAACUGCUAGUUAGUAACCCAGCCCCGGAGCCCCACACUCUACAGAUUACUGUGCUUCUGAUGCGUUGCUGAAUCCAGGAUCUGCCUUGCUGGUCUACUGCAGAGGGCACGUGUUCUUUCUCCACAUGUGUUUCAGCUGACUGAUACGCCUGUGCUAACCCAGCUCGGGGUCUCAGAGGGGUGGCUGCUCACAGGUCACAGUCCUUCCUGUGUCCUAUUUCCAAGCAAGGAGAGUACUGUACUUCCUAUGCCGAAUCAGGGACAUGAUACUAGACCCCCAAGUGGUGGGUCUUUAUUUAUUUUUUUAAUGCAUUCAUUUUUCGUAAUGUACUACCCGGGUCCUAUAGGGGAACGCCAUUUCUCCCUUGCAGCCCUUAGCUUCUGAUAUGCUGUGACCAGGACAUGUGACACAUUCCCUUUUGGGUUUAGUUUUGGUCUUCCUAGAACCUGUUAGGAAAGAAGCUCAUGAUGUGGCUGUAAGUCAACCUUGCCUUCACUAUGUACCGAGAAAAGUAGAAGUUGACUUCUUCUAGCCAAGGAGACUCUGGGCAAAGCAAGAUAUCUGGAACAGGAUCCUUAGGUAUUUCUUCCCAUCACUGUUGUUUCUUUGAGACAGGGUUUCUCUGAGUAGCUCUGGCUAUCCUGAAACUUGUAGAUCAGGCUGACCUGGAACUUAUAUAUCCAUCUACCUCUGCCUCCCAAGUGCUGGGAUUAAAGGUGUGGGCCUUGCCAGACACCCGCUGCUGUUCCUGAUAGGGUUGGAGUAGAAGAGGACCUCUCCAUGUGCUCUGUGCAGUUCCUCUAGCUGGGGAACUCCCUCUGGGUUCUCACUGAGUUGUUUUCCCAUACAUGGGAUGAGUUUUAUCACCAAACUUUCAAGAGAGAGAGGUUGCCUUGGCCUGGGAGGUUUUGUUUGUAAAACCUCUUUGAUAGCUGGGGGAAUGGUCAGAAGUAAAAAAACAUCCAAAUUUAUACAGUGUUACCAGAGGACUUAAAGAGAUGGAGGUACCAGCAGCAGGCAGGACUUCAUGAAAACCCCGUUGCUUGCUAAGGUGGUCAUGUGACUAUGCUCUGGCUUUGGGGUGUAUAUACAUUUGCUGUGUGGAAGCAGGAUAUAGUUGUGAAGGAAGUGCUGUAGCUAUGUUAGUGGAUCAUGAGGAUGAAACCAAGUCAUGGAGAAGGCAGAGGGUGAGCUGGGUCUCAGAGGGUCCUUAUAUCCUGUAUACUGUGUACAUACGUAGAAUGGAUGUAUAUAUAAUGCAUGAAUGUAUGUAUAUGUAAUAUAUGUAGAAAGACAUUCAUUGUAUACAUGUGUAUAUAUACAAAUAUAAAAAUUUCAUUUUGUUCUUGUUUGAUGUAUGUAUGUAUGUAUGUAUGUAUGUAUGUGUACUACAUGUGUGUAGUGCCUGUGGAGGCCAGAAGAGGGUAUUGAAUCUCUUGGAACCAGAGUUCCAGUUGGCUGUAAGCCUCCGUGGUAGGUGCCUGUGUGCUGAACCUGGUCCUCAGUAAGAGCAGCAAGUGGCCUUAACCACUGCGCCACCUUUCCAGUCCCUAUUUGAUUUUGAGACAGCACAUCCCUAUACAUUCCAGGCUGAACUUGAACUUGUCUUCCUCUUGCCUCAGCCUCUCUAGUGCUAGAAUUUCAGGCAUGUGCCACCAUGCCCAGCAGGAGAGAAACAAGUUUAAUCUUGUUUCAGUGAUUGCCUUUAAGUUCUAUAAUGGUAGCUGCACUAAUCCCACCCAUCAACAGAUAACAAGCAGUAAGGACUGUUAACUGGAGGCCACAGGGUGCCAUGGCCACAAACAGUGUGGAGCUGUCUCAGUCCUCCCUCACCCGAUUUUUUGAGAGCAGCAAUUGGAUGAACUCUUUUUAGACGCC
rnacentral:lncRNA from 1 species